CUCGAGAGCCCAUUAGCAAUCGUUUGACCUACUGCGCUCCCCAUUUCCCGUCCCAGCUCCGACACUCCCUGUAAUUUAUGAAGCUAUUACACUUCGGUUGGAACUCAAUUCCCAGUGCAGUGUCCCAUCCUCUCUUUCAGCUGUAAAACCAAUGGGAACGUGAUGCAGACAAAGCUGAACGUGACUUGACUGUGCUGGGGUUCCUGGAGAUAACAACCUGUGUCCAGUGUGGUGGGACUGAGGCCUUCAUCCAGUUUGCUCCCCUCUAAUACCCCCCCAUGUCAGCGUGCAGGGAGCACGCCCUGCAGUACAGGCUCUCUGUGGCAUUCCCUGAAAUCCCUUCAGCAGUGCAUUUGCUGGAAAAUGCCAAGGCUUGGAAUUUAUCAGCCUGAGUAAGUUUUCUCCUGCAAUGCUGUUUUCUUCCUGAGAUCAUACCCCUGAAUAAAAUUCCUACCUAGCCUUGACUGGGUGUUUUGAGCUUA